rnacentral:rRNA from 1 species
UACGUAUGGAGCGAGCGUUGUCCGGAAUCAUUGGGCGUAAAGGGUACGUAGGCGGAUAAGCAAGUUAGAAGUGAAAUCCUAUAGCUCAACUAUAGUAAGCUUUUAAAACUGCUCAUCUUGAGGUAUGGAAGGGAAAGUGGAAUUCCUAGUGUAGCGGUGAAAUGCGCAGAUAUUAGGAGGAAUACCGGUGGCGAAGGCGACUUGCUGGACUUCAACUGACGCUGAGGAACGAAAGCGUGGGUAGCAAACAGG